rnacentral:misc_RNA from 1 species
AACAACGCAUACCUUGUAAAGAGAUCACUUCACUAUUGCUACCAUCGCCUCCUCAAGAAACACUUGCCCUUAACAUCACCAUCAUCCAUCAUGGCCCAGAUAGAAAGCUACGCUGGGGUUUCUACAGCGCCAUCUUUUGAUGAUGGAGGGGAUAAUAUCACUGUUUUUCCUUUGUCUUCAUCGUCCGUUCUCAAAAUCAACAAAGGGGAUAUCACUAAGUGGUUCGUUGAUGGCUCCUCUGAUGCUAUUGUUAAUCC